GAUGAAGGUUUUCGGAUCGUAAAGCUCUGUUGUUAGGGAAGAACAAGUACCGUUCGAAUAGGGCGGUACCUUGACGGUACCUAACCAGAAAGCCACGGCUAACUACGUGCCAGCAGCCGCGGUAAUACGUAGGUGGCAAGCGUUGUCCGGAAUUAUUGGGCGUAAAGGGCUCGCAGGCGGUUCCUUAAGUCUGAUGUGAAAGCCCCCGGCUCAACCGGGGAGGGUCAUUGGAAACUGGGGAACUUGAGUGCAGAAGAGGAGAGUGGAAUUCCACGUGUAGCGGUGAAAUGCGUAGAGAUGUGGAGGAACACCAGUGGCGAAGGCGACUCUCUGGUCUGUAACUGACGCUGAGGAGAGCGAAAGCGUGGGGAGCGAACAGGAUUAGAUACCCUGGUAGUCCACGCCGUAAACGAUGAGUGCUAAGUGUUAGGGGGUUUCCGCCCCUUAGUGCUGCAGCUAACGCAUUAAGCACUCCGCCUGGGGAGUACGGUCGCAAGACUGAAACUCAAAGGAAUUGACGGGGGCCCGCACAAGCGGUGGAGCAUGUGGUUUAAUUCGAAGCAACGCGAAGAACCUUACCAGGUCUUGACAUCCUCUGACAAUCCUAGAGAUAGGACGUCCCCUUCGGGGGCAGAGUGACAGGUGGUGCAUGGUUGUCGUCAGCUCGUGUCGUGAGAUGUUGGGUUAAGUCCCGCAACGAGCGCAACCCUUGAUCUUAGUUGCCAGCAUUCAGUUGGGCACUCUAAGGUGACUGCCGGUGACA
rnacentral:rRNA from 1 species